rnacentral:rRNA from 1 species
CGUAAUAAUAGAAACUAACCAGGAUUCCCUUAGUAACGGCGAGUGAACUGGGAUACCCAAUAUACCAUCUGUGCGUACCUCGGUGCGUACAAAUUUUAGCCCGUCGAUACUAUCCUAGUAUAGUACUGGCUUCGGCCGGUAACCUAUCUAUGCGCGAAUUGUAGCAUCGUACAAAAAUAUAUUAUACAACGUAUAUAUACGCAACCCACACUUAUAUAUAUUUUUAUGCGUACACUUACUUUCAUAAACACACAGCGCUCUCGCGUUGGAAAGCAAGUUUAUAUCCUUUUUUGGAUACGCCAUAGAGUGUGACAGCCACGUUUCAACUCUACGUACGUACGUAUACACAUGCGUUAUAUACAUACACUGUAUUUUAUAUAUAACCUGAGUCGAGUUAUUU